rnacentral:rRNA from 1 species
GACGAACGCUGGCGGCGUGCUUAACACAUGCAAGUCGAACGAUGAAGCCCUUUCGGGGGUGGAUUAGUGGCGAACGGGUGAGUAACACGUGGGUAACCUGCCCUGUACCCUGGGAUAAGCCUUGGAAACGAGGUCUAAUACCGGAUAUGACCUGCUCUCGCAUGGGGGGUGGGUGGAAAGUUUUGGCGGUGCAGGAUGGACCCGCGGCCUAUCAGCUUGUUGGUGGGGUGAUGGCCUACCAAGGCGACGACGGGUAGCCGGCCUGAGAGGGCGACCGGCCACACUGGGACUGAGACACGGCCCAGACUCCUACGGGAGGCAGCAGUGGGGAAUAUUGCACAAUGGGCGAAAGCCUGAUGCAGCGACGCCGCGUGAGGGAUGACGGCC